GCCGAAAUACCUCAUUUGGGAGAGCGUUAGACUGAAGAUCUAAAGGUCCAUGGUUCUUUCCCGGGUUUUGGCA
rfam:Salmo salar isolate Sally breed double haploid chromosome ssa27, whole genome shotgun sequence.